AACGUAGGAGGCAAGCGUUAUCCGGAUUUACUGGGCGUAAAGCGCAUGCAGGCGGCUUGGAAAGUUGUAUGUGAAAGCUCCCGGCUUAACCGGGAGAGGUCGUUCAAUACUUCCAGGCUAGAAGAUGUGAAAGGAAAGCGGAAUUCCGAGUGUAGUGGUGAAAUGCGUAGAUAUUCGGAGGAACACCAGUGGCGAAAGCGGCUUUCUGGCACAUUUCUGACGCUCAUAUGCGAAAGCUAGGGUAG
rnacentral:rRNA from 1 species